UACGAAGGGGGGCUAGCGUUGCUCGGAAUCACUGGGCGUAAAGCGCACGUAGGCGGCUUUUUAAGUCAGAGGUGAAAUCCUGGAGCUCAACUCCAGAACUGCCUUUGAUACUGGAGAGCUUGAGUCCGGGAGAGGUGAGUGGAACUGCGAGUGUAGAGGUGAAAUUCGUAGAUAUUCGCAAGAACACCGGUGGCGAAGGCGGCCAACUGGACCAUUACUGACGCUGAGGCGCGAAAGCUGGGGAGCAAACAGG
rnacentral:rRNA from 1 species